rnacentral:lncRNA from 1 species
CGCAUGUGAAGAAAUCACAUGCAAGGGAAGAGGAGCCCUUGAGUUUGGCGCCUACAUGUGAUUUCUCACAUGCAAGGAAGAGGCGCCUUCCUCUUGGCACCUUAGUGUAGGGAAAUUGGAAGGGGCGCCCUUCCUAGUGGCGCCUAAGUGUUGUUUUGUGUUGUAUAUAUUACCACAUCAACAACAGGAGUCUCAGUACAUUGAUCAGUUAC